rnacentral:rRNA from 1 species
CCUACGGGAGGCAGCAGUGGGGAAUUUUGGACAAUGGGCGCAAGCCUGAUCCAGCCAUGCCGCGUGUGGGAAGAAGGCCUUCGGGUUGUAAACCACUUUUGUCAGGGAAGAAACGGCCUUUACUAAUAUUAGGGGCUAAUGACGGUACCUGAAGAAUAAGCACCGGCUAACUACGUGCCAGCAGCCGCGGUAAUACGUAGGGUGCAAGCGUUAAUCGGAAUUACUGGGCGUAAAGCGUGCGCAGGCGGCUUUGCAAGACAGAUGUGAAAUCCCCGGGCUCAACCUGGGAACUGCAUUUGUGACUGCAUGGCUAGAGUACGGUAGAGGGGGAUGGAAUUCCGCGUGUAGCAGUGAAAUGCGUAGAUAUGCGGAGGAACACCGAUGGCGAAGGCAAUCCCCUGGACCUGUACUGACGCUCAUGCACGAAAGCGUGGGGAGCAAACAGGAUUAGAUACCCUGGUAGUCCACGCCCUAAACGAUGUCAACUGGUUGUUGGACGGCUUGCUGUUCAGUAACGAAGCUAACGCGUGAAGUUGACCGCCUGGGGAGUACGGCCGCAAGGUUGAAACUUAAAGGAAUUGACGGCUGAGAGNGCGAGACGACGACGAGGGAGGAGG